rnacentral:rRNA from 1 species
UAGCGAAGGGGGCUAGCGUUGCUCGGAAUCACUGGGCGUAAAGGGCGCGUAGGCGGUCGUGACAAGUCACUUGUGAAAUCUCCGGGCUUAACUCGGAACGGUCAAGUGAUACUGUCGGACUAGAGUACAGAAGGGGCAACUGGAAUUCUCGGUGUAGCGGUGAAAUGCGUAGAUAUCGAGAGGAACACCUGCGGCGAAGGCGGGUUGCUGGGCAGUUGCUGACACUGAGGCGCGACAGCGUGGGGAGCAAACAGG